GUGGCUAUUUUUGCUUUGUCCUUGAUGUUUUCCUUUUGGUCGACAGCUUGGGCCAGGGCUCCAAGGUAGUUACAAAGCUGUCUGGUGACUGCAGGGAGAGGCUUAAGACAGAAGCCCUGACUUCAGGGGGAUGCAGAGGGGCCCAUCAAAGGUUUCUGGGCUCCUAGGCUGGUUGAGGGUGAACCUUUGGAAGAGUUACUGGCUCAACUCUCCCUCCACCCCACCCUCAGUCUGCAGGGGUUGGGGUAUGGGCUAUGGGUGGUUGUAAUCUACUUGAUGAGUUUCAGUUGCUCCUCCAGGAAGCCACUCUCUAGGAAGUCACAGGCAUGGAGGUCUGCGCGAGCAGAACCCAGGGCAGGCAGGUCCAAAAAGGCCUGGCUCAGGUUCUUAUCCAGGGCUGUGGCAGCUUCCUUAUUGUCUAGAGUUUUAUCCCAUUCAUCUUGGGACAGCUUCUGCACUCCUGAAAGAGGGUAGGGACACUGCGACCGUUUUGAAUCUUUAAGAGAUGCUGAGCGCCCUUAAGCUUCUCCACUGUGAAGUCACAGAAAUGACCCACCCCCUCCAGAGCCACAACCUUUUGAUUGAAAUAGAAGCCCAAAGAGAGGCUUUUAUACUCUUUUUAUACAACCAGUCUUUGGAUGUGAAAGGAUCCCUGGCGCGGGAGUGACCACAGACAUGGAAGCUCUUUUCAGGCUAAGGUAAAUAUAAUAACAUUAAGGUCAGAUGAAGUUGGACUUUGGAUAUGAAAUCAAAGACUUUGACCUUUACUUACAUUCCAGCAAUUCCUCAAUCUUGCUAUAUCUCAGAAUGACCUGGAAGCUUUAAAACUACAGACUCCAGGACUCCAACUCAGAUUGAAUAGCUAAGUACCUUGGCAAAAACUCAGAUGUUUUGAUGAAACAAGAUUGGCUGCUGCUGCUAAGUCACUUCACUCGUGUCCAACUCUGUGCGACCCCAUUGACGGCAGCCCACCAGGCUCCCCCGUCCCUGGGAUUCUCCAGGCAAGAACACUGGAGUGGGUUGCCAUUUC